GGAAAGGUGCUCGAGUGGUUGAAGAGGCACGCCUGGAAAGCGUGUAUACCCCUAAAGGGUAUCAAGAGUUCGAAUCUCUUCCUUUCCG
rnacentral:tRNA from 1 species